AAACCCUUUUUAAUGACUUCAAUUAAUUUCAAGUCAGUUAACAGGAAAGCUGCAUUUCUUGUAUAUGAUAAAAAUAGGAUGGUGGCAAAUAAGCUGAGAAAAUAGUUUUUGAAAAUUACUGUCAUUCGUAUGGGGUGCGAAGUAGUGAAAUAGACUAAAUCUUUUACAUAAGGAAUAAAGGAGUUAGUACUAUAAAGUCCUUUGAACCAUGAACUGGUGUACGUCAAAUACCAAGUUUGCUUUAUUUGAAGAAAUCCAGAUAACAAUCUUAAUUUGUAAGGUUGCUAAUUGGAACUCGUAGCAAUUCUCAUAAUAGCAUCUAAAAACAUUUUAAAAGAAUGUAAGCCUUUGGAAUAAAGUGUUGUUUUUCCUUAUGAUUCUAUAAUUAAUACUGGUGACUUUUGUGUGAGCAUAAGUUUACUUUGAUCGUAUCGACCUUCUUUUAAUCCGCUCUAGUUGAAUCAGUAUUGAGAUCAACUCUAGUAUGCUCUAUACGAGACCGUGUGGGAAAUGGGCAAAUUAUUAUAACAAAAUAAUAAAACUAAACACUAUAAUUUAAUAAUUAUAAAAAUGAUAAAAAUUAAACUCCAUGAAGUAGCAUUUGAAUUAGCAUGUGUUUUCGGAUAGCACGGAGAGGCCAGAACACUAGUAUAUAAUGUUCGUGGACUCCUAAAAAGCCUCAUUACCAGAAAGUGCUCCGGAUUUGAGAGGGCGGCUUCUACCCCAAUUAAGAAAAUAGUGAAAAUUUGCCUCGCUGCAACUCAGUUAGAAUGAAGGAGAGUUGGGUUUUUCACCACCCUAUCCAGUGUCCUCCAACGGUGCCUGAGUGGACAGUCGGGCUUCUUCAAGUCCGGCUGCACUUGCCAGCUCUGCAGAGGCUCGCACUCAAACCCGGGCUGAGAGUGCGGGGACCUCGGACUUGCCCAGCCUCUCAAGCAAGCAUAGCACUAGGGUAGGCUCUGCAACUCAGCUCUCGCCCCGCCUCCUCGCACUAGCUGACGGAGGUUCUGUGGCUCCCUGGCGCCCCCUGGUCUGCUUCUGCGGGGUAGGUUUCCGGUGAGCCUCUAGCGGUACAGGACAACUCCCUCCUCCUGGGCAGCUACCAUCUCUGUGGCUUUGCCUGACCCCCCCUGUUCCAGGUGGGACUUGUCCCGUGAACUGCGGUGCCUUCACCAUCCCCUUCGCGUGGUGGUCCGGCUGCGUAUGCCUCUGUAGCCCUGGCGCUCUGUGGGCGCUUGUGGGUGCUCCUGACCGCUCCUGGUGCGGCUCCGUGGCAGACUGCAGCCACCCGCCGGGCCCCCGGUGCUCGGCCCCUUCACGGCCUGUGGGAAUCCAGUCAAGAGAUGCAGGAGUGGAGGGAGCCAGCUGCUUUGUGCUGAAGGAAAAAGUACCUCAUCUGGUAAAGCUUCUAUCUGCUGGAGAAGGGCCCCACCCCUCCCCCGGGGGACUUGCAGGAGACACCACAAAAGCCUCUGCCAGACCGGGGAUAUCAGGAGCUGCCUACUUCUAGUUUAUGCAAGUGGGCUUUAUAUAUCUGAAACAUUACAACAGUUUCUGAGUGGUUCUGAGUAUUAAAGAGGUA